rnacentral:rRNA from 1 species
UAGGGAAUCUUGCGCAAUGGGCGAAAGCCUGACGCAGCCAUGCCGCGUGAAUGAUGAAGGUCUUAGGAUUGUAAAAUUCUUUCACCGGGGGAGAUAAUGACGGUACCCGGAGAAGAAGCCCCGGCUAACUUCGUGCCAGCAGCCGCGGUAAUACGAAGGGGGCUAGCGUUGCUCGGAAUUACUGGGCGUAAAGGGCGCGUAGGCGGACAGUUUAGUCAGAGGUGAAAGCCCAGGGCUCAACCUUGGAAUUGCCUUUGAUACUGGCUGUCUUGAGUUCGGGAGAGGUGAGUGGAAUGCCGAGUGUAGAGGUGAAAUUCGUAGAUAUUCGGCGGAACACCAGUGGCGAAGGCGACUCACUGGCCCGAUACUGACGCUGAGGCGCGAAAGCGUGGGGAGCAAACAGGAUUAGAUACCCUGGUAGUCCACGCCGUAAACGAUGAGUGCUAGUUGUCGGCAUGCAUGCAUGUCGGUGACGCAGCUAACG